rnacentral:lncRNA from 1 species
UUUGUUGAAAUACUGUGUCACAUUUGCUGAAUUAUAACUAAUAAAGGUUGUUUGUUCUUUCUGAAUUUAUUGAAGAAUAAAAUCGUAAGAUCAUUAAUCCCAUCCCAUUUCUUCAACCGUCCGGUUGAUUUCAAACGGACAGGCCCAAUCGUCUGGAUUGGUUGCAUGGAAAUAAUUCGGGAUUCCAUUCUGGAGAUCCCGGGUUCGUCUCUCGAAUCCCAUCCGCUUGAAAAUGUACAUCAUGCUGUCUGGGCCUUGCGCAUCGAUACCUUAUCUUCAAGUCUAGCUGAUCCCACCAGCUGUUAUAGGCUGCCUUCCGAUUCACAUGGGUGGGCAGCCUAUACAAAGACUUGUUUCGUCCCGCCAUUUGGUAUUCUUUCAAAAUGGAAAGUGACGUCAUUUGUUGAGAAAAAAGAAUGGUCCGGUCUUCGUCCCGUUGAACCACUAUAAAAAUAGGAAAUAUGAAAUCCAAAAUUAAAUCCAGAUUCUUCAUGAGAGUAAAUAAAUGCUACUCCUACCUGCUAUCCGAUCAAUUCUUCCUUUUUACAAAAUUUAUACAAGAUAAAGUCAUGCUAGUCGAUGCUUUCUGUUAUACAGUUCUUUUUUUCAACAAAUGAUACAACAUUCUGGAAGAAAACUAAAUGGUGGGGUACUUCCACUGGCUGCCUAGUCCUGUGGAGGUCAGUCGGAUUGUGCAGGGCGGGGAUCGACGGGCAGGCCCGGACUCCAUGAUAAAUAUUUUCAAGGUAUGUGACCGAGAUUCGAACCCUGGUUUUCCAAAGUGAAAGACAAAC